CGUGUGUUAUCUACCCUUUCUCUCUCUCUCAGAUUGCAGAGUCUUCUAGGUCGCCACGCCUCCACUACCUUCGUAAAACCGCCAACACCCUCUCAUAUCUGAAUCAAAACUACCCCAAACCCUAUCCUUCAUCUUCGUCCUGUUCUAGAUGAAAGCUUUUGAAUUGGAAAUUUCUCCGAGUAUUACCAAUUGGUUGCAAACUUGUAUUUGUUUGCUGGGAAUCCUAAAUGAUCGAUUGGCUAAGAUUAUUGAGGAGGAAUUGAUACCAAUCAAUUACGAUAAACAAUGGCGAUGAGAAACUUCAGAACAAUUGUGCGGACCAUAGGCCUAGCUCCUGUUCUCCAAGUCCCUCUUCAAUUGGAACAUGGCUAAAGCUGGGUUUCGUAACUUAUCUUUUACUCUCAUGGAUAUCAGAUCCCUAUAACUGCCAUACGGAACAUGAAAACCAAUAAAGAAGCUGCACCAUGACAAUGUCAUCAAGUUGAAAGAGAUUGUGACAUCUCCAGAUGGUAACUAGUAUAAAGGGGGCAUCUAUACUUAAUUCACACCCCAUUUUGUCCAGGGAAAAGAUGAUGCUGGAACUUGGGCUAGGGAAAAUCACUGCAACCUGAGAAUACUGAAAGAGUUCAUAUGUUCACUGGUCUUUUUUGUUGAAAGCUGCAGCUACACUGAAGUGUGAAGAAGAGUAUUUAGUUAUUUUUUGUUCUCUCUUUUUAAUGUUUUAGUUCUGGGAGUGUAAUCGCUUGAACUUAUUGUAUGUAAUUUUUUAAUAAAAUCAUUAGUUUUAAUUUUGUUGUUAAUAUA